CCCUGGAACAGCCACACAGAGAAAAAAAUAAGAGGGAGUUUCAAUGCAAAAACAGAAAUCAAGUGGAGCUUAUUACAUCUAGAUGCAGCGGUGCUGCCAGUGAUGACCGGCACAUUUGAUGCCUGGGCAAUCUCUGUGAUAACAGAAGUGACACACAAUGUGAUAAGCAACACAAAUGUGCCUGACAACUAUUCUGGGAUGGAGCCUACUCAGCAGUUUCAAAGGCAACACAUCUCCACAAUCAGGCACUCCCAGGCUGAGCUUCCUCUUCGCCCAGACCAGAAAGACCCAGGACAGACUCUGUUUAUGCCACAAGUCAGCAGUGAGCCAGCCCCAGGGUAUCUGCGUCAUCGGGACGUCUCGGCGCAAGAGGAGUGAGGAGCAGCUGAGCCUCGGGACGUGGUUGUGCUCUGCUCCACGCAGGCUGGCUUAGAUACUGAAUCAACUCAAUCCUCCCAGCAGCUUUGGAAAAGAAAGGAAAAUUUUGCCUUGGUUCCCAGGUAGUUUGGGGCUCACCUUUAGCAGUGGCCAGUGCUCCUGAUCGGCUGUUCCUGGUGAGCGAGGCAGCCCCUGCCACCAUCAGCUCAAAUGCCACUCAGCAGCAGGACUUUGGGCCAAAAUACUGCCUGAAAUUACCUCCAGACCCAGUCAGCUGCUAAUCAGUUCACUAACAUUUUAUGUGUGACAGAAUGACUUUUAGUUUGCUACUAUGACUUUUUGUUAGCUCCACUUUGAUUACACCUUCACAUGCACACACCGACCCUCUUUGGCUUCUGAUGACAUUUCUUGUUUGCAUUGUGCUCUGCUAGAAAACCAACUUUUGAGUGCACCUGGGUCACUCCAUCCCUUCCCUUUGUCAGGAUCCAACUUGGUGCAGGUGGAUUUUCCUCCCCAGCAGCUACUGAGGACGCUCUGUUCUCCCGACCUGCUGUCUGAGCCUCCGGCAGGUUUUAACAAAGCAGCUCCUCCUGUUCUGUUCACAGAGAAGGUGCCGAAGCGUGUCCUGCUCAAACUCCAGAAGUGGGGAGAGAAAGGCAGGGCAAAGGCUACACUUCUCCUUUCUUUGUGUUCAUGGUGCCAUAGCGUUCUGCCAGACCCCCUGAGAAAGUUGUCUCUUUUCUCUCUGCCCCUUUCUGGGCCGUAAAUAGAAAUGAUAAAAUAUUCACCGCUUGCACUGGAUAGCCCCGGUUAGCCGCUCCUCUGGAGACUUCUUUCUUAAGAGAGAAUGACCUUCAUAAGCCACACUUUUCUACCAAUACUCCCUCCCCCCAGAGUUAUAAAAUAAAAAAGUAAUUAACACCCACUCAGCCUGACACCAACUAUUUAUUUUGUUCUAACUGUGUGGUUUCCAUAUUAUCACUGCCCACCCUGCCGUUAAUGGAAAUGUUAAUAACCAGCGCCAGGUUGUUGUGACAGAUGCUUGGGCUCAUUAUCAGAAAUUCUUAUUUACCGCUCCAUUAAACGACAGAAUCGCACAAAAAAACAAUUCAAUCAAAACUAACUGGAGGAAU